rnacentral:rRNA from 1 species
UACGUAGGGUGCAAGCGUUGUCCGGAAUUAUUGGGCGUAAAGGGCUCGUAGGCGGUCUGUCACGUCGGGAGUGAAAACUCAGGGCUUAACCCUGAGCCUGCUUCCGAUACGGGCAGACUAGAGGUAUGCAGGGGAGAACGGAAUUCCUGGUGUAGCGGUGAAAUGCGCAGAUAUCAGGAGGAACACCGGUGGCGAAGGCGGUUCUCUGGGCAUUACCUGACGCUGAGGAGCGAAAGUGUGGGGAGCGAACAGA